AGAAACUGUGUGUGUGUGUGCGUGUGUGUGUGUGCGCACACACACACACACACACACACACACACACAGAUUCU